UUUUUUCCGCGCUGGCUGAGAUUCAAAGAGAAGUGGAGGUGGGAGGGAGCGACAAUGGAAAAAUCACCUGAAAACUGGGACAGAGGAAGGAAGCUACAGUUACGAAGGAGAGCUGCAAAAGUUGCAGCAGAAAGGUUGGGAGUCCCGACAGGUUCCGUAGCCCACAGAAAAGAAGCAAGGGACGGCAGGACUGUUUCACACUUUUCUGCUUCUGGAAGGUGCUGGACAAAAACAUGGAACUAAUUUCCCCAACAGUGAUUAUAAUCCUGGGUUGCCUUGCUCUGUUCUUACUCCUUCAGCGGAAGAAUUUGCGUAGACCCCCGUGCAUCAAGGGCUGGAUUCCUUGGAUUGGAGUUGGAUUUGAGUUUGGGAAAGCCCCUCUAGAAUUUAUAGAGAAAGCAAGAAUCAAGUCAUUUUCAGAUCAGCUUGAGAGGAC
rnacentral:lncRNA from 1 species